GCGGGCCGAAUGACCGCGGUGAAAAUACGAGGAAAGUCCGAGCUCCGCAGGACAGGAUGCCGGAUAACAUCCGGUGGAGGCGACUCCAAGGAAAGUGCAACAGAGAUAUACCGCCUGCCUUUGCAGGUAAGGGUGGAAAGGCGAGGUAAGAGCUCACCGGCUGCUUGGCGACUUGCAGGCCCUGUAAACCCCAUCCGGAGCAAGAUUGAUAGCGAAGCAUUAACGGUUGUCCGCCGGCUUCCAGGUAAUCGCUUAAGCCCGUUCGGCAACGGCGGGAAUAGAUAGAUGGUCAUUCACGACAGAACUCGGCUUACAGGCCCGUCU
rnacentral:RNase_P_RNA from 1 species